rnacentral:rRNA from 1 species
AGCAGCCGCGGUAAUUCCAGCUCCAAUAGCGUAUAUUAAAGUUGUUGCAGUUAAAAAGCUCGUAGUUGAAUUUCGGGAUCAAUAUGCUGGUCGUGCCAUUGGUACGUACUAGUAUUAUUGGUUUCUUCCUUCUGAUGAAUCAUGAUGUCAUUAAGUUGAUGUCAUGGGGAAUCAGGACUGUUACUUUGAAAAAAUUAGAGUGUUUAAAGCAGGCUCGCGCUUGAAUACAUUAGCAUGGAAUAAUGAAAUAGGACGUUUGAUUCUAUUUUGUUGGUUUCUAGAAUUGACGUAAUGAUUAAUAGGGAUAGUUGGGGGCAUUAGUAUUCAAUUGUCAGAGGUGAAAUUCUUGGAUUUAUUGAAGACUAACUACUGCGAAAGCAUUUGCCAAGGAUGUUUUCAUUAAUCAAGAACGAAAGUUAGGGGAUCGAAGACGAUCAGAUACCGUCGUAGUCUUAACCAUAAACUAUGCCGACUAGGAUCGGAUGAUGUUAAUUUUUAA